UUUUAUUUUCAUUUGAUAACUUUAUUAUUUUUUAUUGAAAGUCAUCUUUUCAAUUGUUAAUCUAAUUUGUUCAUUUAGUUUAAGCUUGCGUUUUUCCUUUCUUUCUCUCUCUCACUUCAAUUGGUAAAUUUAUUCCAUGUCUUGAUAACUUUCACUUGGCUCUUAUUGUCAACUAAUUGAAUGUGUUAAAACCGUUUUACCUGAUGAUUGAACUGCUGCUUACUUGAUGGCUUGAUUAAUACUUUGACUUUUGAUAGAUCAGCCUGGAAAUUUGGUUUGUACAAUAAUACAUAUUGACGUAAAAGCAAAACAAAGGCAAAGGAGACAACAAGAGGAGAAAAUAUUAAUGAUAGCUCUACGUCAAACAAAUCAGUAUCAACAGAGACACCAACAAUUCGUCAACAACAUGAUAAGUUGCAUACGCAACCACAGUAUUUACGAAAGAGUCUGAGGAUGAUUACAAGAGAUGGAUUGGCAAAAGCAAACACAAUUUCUUGAAUUGGAAGCCAACAAUUAAAAGGAUAUAUUUUGGUCUUUGGUUUCUUGGUGGAUCCCAUUUAUAAAUCAAUGUAAAAAUUAAUUGAGCUGACAUUUAUUUUCCAUCAUCCAUGAAACAAGGGUAAACAUAAUUGUAUUCAAUGUUGAAUAAUUAAUGUUCAGGUCUUGUUGUCUGCAGUUAACCGUUGGACAUAAUCUUUCAUCAUCAUACUCAAUCUUAUUUUUAAUGCAAGGAAAAUAAAGGAAAAUGUAAACAGAUUGAAAUGUGUUGAAACAUGAGUUACUCAAGAAUCCAGAAUAAGGAAAAGACAAGGAAAGAAGGAAAGAAGCAACGUUUUCCAGCAAAGUAUUUACAAUGUUUCAAAUUUCUCUGAGUUUGAUCAACCUUCAGUCAAUGUUUCAUUUCAUGGCGAAAGAAACAUGAAGGAAAUGAGUUUCCAUAGCAGAUAAAUUCAUCAAAAAUGAUCAACAAUAAUCAAUAAAACAAGCUUGAAACAUGUAUCAAAGAAUAAGGUGCAACCAAUUGGCAAUGGUUUAGGAAAAUCACAAAGGACACUGAAAUGAAAAUGGAACGGCAAUGAUUCACUUUGGGGAAUUUUCUUGGUCUCUCAAUGUUUCAAUUGACUUUAAUUGUGACAAUUCAUUGAUGAUCACCUUUCGGCGAAUGAUUGAGUCGGCAUUCAAUUCCUUUACCAUUAUUUUCAUAUCAACCUUCUUUUGUCGGUAAAGAUUGUAAACAAAUUAACUGGCAUUGGUCUAAACAUUGAAUCAAGGAAAGGUUACAAGUCCAAAUGUUUACUUUUAUGGCAAACAAUUUGAAACAUUUGUAAGACAAUUAAAUGUGGCUUGAAACCAAAAUAACAUUGGUUUCAACUUUACGCUGGUCAAAGGACAAAAAGUGAAUCGCUCAAUGUUUCUUAGCUGGCAGUCUUGAAAUUUGGAUGAAGUUGAUUAAGUAGAUGGAAAGCAAUUCAUAAAAUAUCCUAAUCUGGAUCCUGUCAAAAUUACCAUAAAAAGCAUUUGCACCUUCCAAGAAUAAGCUGAUGAAACGAAAGACUCAAAAGGAAGAAAGCGAAAUAAUACAUGCAAAGUGACUUUUCUCAUCUCUUGCUUUCAUUUUUAUCUCAUCAUUAUCAUCAUCAUCAUCCUUCUCCCUCUCACUCUCAGCCAUUUCCUCUGUACCAUUGAACCAAGUCAACUUCGUGCCCAUUAAGCUUGAAGGACAAAAGACCCAAACGACAACUGGCAAAUUAUGGAUAAACUUUGACGACUCGAGAUGUUUAAUGCACUUGAAUUUAUUGCAAGUAACUGUACUUCAUCUGUCAACAGGCACAAGAAAACACAACACCAAAAGUACUCAAAUAAAACCAGAUUGGACGGUGCAAAUAAACUGUAAAUACAGAGCAGAGCUUUUCUUGUUAACCGUCAACCAAUAAUAUCAAGUUCAGUUGAACUGAAACUUCUCAAUCAAUCGAGAUGAUAAUUAUCAAGUUUAGCUCUCAUUUCUCUCUCUAUCUUCUUAGUACCUGCAACUUCAAUUUGCCUGGCCAAAGUAAACAAUUUAUCAUCUCACAUUUACCAUGAACCAAGAAAAAAUAACAAUCAGAGUUUAUCCCUUUCAUGAUACAAGGAAAUAAUGGAGGAAAGAAAAAAAGACGAAGAAAAAAAGUGGAAAGAAAAAGAAAAGAGAUAAAAAAUGAUGAAUUAUCCUUUGAAACUGAGAAACUUUUGUUAACUGUUUAUCAAUGAUAAGAUAAUACAAUACUUUGCGUGUUUCUAUUAAUUUAAAUUAUCCUUUAAUACCCUGAAAGUUCAAUAUUACCAUCGUUAUAAUUGAACAGGAGAAAGAGAGAAAAAGAAAUGUUGCAAAUCAUUAAUAAUCGAUAAAAAUAUUGAACAGUUUUCUUCAAUUUUCAAUUUCCAUUUCAACAAUUAAUCCAACAAUAAGAUUAACAUUAAUUGAAUCUCCGGAAAUUAUUUCAAUUGAAUUAUCUUACAUUAGACAAACAAUUAUCAAUAAGGGAAGAAGAAGAAAAUGAAUGAGAAAAAAUUAUAAUGUAUAGUUGAUUGAAUACACUGAUUGUUGUGGUCUUUUCAAUGAAAACCUGACAUCACAUUACAAGCGGUUCAGGCCUGACUCUUGAACGUGUCAAUGUGCGUGCUUGUCACACCAAAUGAACCACAAGUUAAUUAGUUUUUACCUUAAAAUUGAUCUAAACCCAAACAAUCAAGGCGUCAACUCUUUCAGUUGAACAUUUUGCUUUGGCCAAUGUACAGUUUUAUGCAUCAAUCAAUUCAAUUAAUUAACUAUUAAUUUGUCUGUUUUGUAUUAAUGGGUAACAAUUAAUUAUCAAUCGUUAUUGUGUGUGUU